rnacentral:rRNA from 1 species
AUUGAACGCUGGCGGCAGGCUUAACACAUGCAAGUCGAGCGGGGUGAUGGUGCUUGCACUAUCACUUAGCGGCGGACGGGUGAGUAAUGCUUAGGAAUCUGCCUAUUAGUGGGGGACAACAUCUCGAAAGGGACGCUAAUACCGCAUGCGUCCUACGGGAGAAAGCAGGGGAUCACUUGUGACCUUGCGCUAAUAGAUGAGCCUAAGUGGGAUUAGCUAGUGGGUGGGGUAAAGGCCUACCAAGGCGACGAUCUGUAGCGGGUCUGAGAGGAUGAUCCGCCACACUGGGACUGAGACACGGCCCAGACUCCUACGGGAGGCAGCAGUGGGGAAUAUUGGACAAUGGGGGGAACCCUGAUCCAGCCAUGCCGCGUGUGUGAAGAAGGCCUUAUGGUUGUAAAGCACUUUAAGCGAGGAGGAGGCUCUUUUGGUUAAUACCCAAGAUGAGUGGACGUUACUCGCAGAAUAAGCACCGGCUAACUCUGUGCCAGCAGCCGCCGUAA